rnacentral:rRNA from 1 species
AGCGAUGAAGCACCUUCGGGUGUGAAUUAGCGGCGAACGGGUGAGGAACACGUGAGAAAUCUGCCUUCAACACUGGGAUAACUCCGGGAAACCGGGGCUAAUACCGGAUAUGAAAUCUGCGGGCAUCCGCGUGAUUUGGAAAGUUUUUCGGUUGAAGAUGAUCUCGCGGCCUAUCAGCUUGUUGGUGAGGUAAUGGCUCACCAAGGCGACGACGGGUAGCCGGCCUGAGAGGGCGACCGGCCACACUGGGACUGAGACACGGCCCAGACUCCUACGGGAGGCAGCAGUGGGGAAUAUUGGGCAACGGAGGAAACUCUGACCCAGCGACGUCGCGUGCGGGAUGAAGGCCUUCGGGUUGCAAACCGCUUUC